rnacentral:ribozyme from 1 species
UUGAGAAGCGGAAAAGUGGGACGCGCCCACGAGAAACGAACAAUGAAGAUAAGUCGAUCGCUUCCUCGAUGCUGCCUCU